GAUGAACGCUGGCGGUAUGCUUAACACAUGCAAGUCGAACGGACUCUUCGGAGUUAGUGGCGGACGGGUGAGUAACGCGUGAGAAUCUGGCUUUGGGUUCGGGACAACCACUGGAAACGGUGGCUAAUACCGGAUGUGCCGAGAGGUAAAAGAGAAAUUGCCUGAAGAUGAGCUCGCGUCUGAUUAGCUAGUUGGUGAGGUAAAGGCUCACCAAGGCAGCGAUCAGUAGCUGGUCUGAGAGGAUGACCAGCCACACUGGGACUGAGACACGGCCCAGACUCCUACGGGAGGCAGCAGUGGGGAAUUUUCCGCAAUGGGCGAAAGCCUGACGGAGCAAUACCGCGUGAGGGAAGAAGGCUCUUGGGUUGUAAACCUCUUUCCUUAGGGAAGAACAAAAUGACGGUACCUAAGGAAUCAGCAUCGGCUAACUACGUG
rnacentral:rRNA from 1 species